rnacentral:rRNA from 1 species
UACGGAGGGUCCGAGCGUUAUCCGGAAUUAUUGGGUUUAAAGGGUCCGUAGGCGGGCGAUUAAGUCAGUGGUGAAAGUCUGCAGCUCAACUGUAGAAUUGCCUUUGAUACUGGUCGUCUUGAGUUAUAGUGAAGUUGCCGGAAUAUGUAGUGUAGCGGUGAAAUGCAUAGAUAUUACAUAGAACACCGAUUGCGAAGGCAGGUGACUAACUAUAUACUGACGCUGAUGGACGAAAGCGUGGGGAGCGAACAGG